rnacentral:lncRNA from 1 species
AGACACACUGGCUUGAUGGGUUCUUAUAUUUGUCUUAUUUCACACAUAUACACGUGUGUGAAUUGGAAAUAUGUUUUUUGUGCAUAUCCCAACUCUCCCUGAGACACCCUCGAAGAGUCGGAUGAGACACCCUCAGGGAGUUGGGUGAGACACCCUCAGGGAGUUGGGUGAGACACCCUCGGAGAGUGGGGUGAGGCAACCUUGGAGUGAGGGGUGAGACAGCAUCAUAGAGUAGGGUGAGACACCCUCUGAAUGUGGGGUGAGGCAACCUUGGAGUGAGGGGUGAGACAGCAUCAUAGAGUAGGGUGAGACACCCUCUGAGUGUGGGGUGAGACACCCUCUGAAAGUGGGGUGAGACACCCUCGGAAAGUGGGCUGAGACAACCUCUGAGAGUGGGGUGAGACACCCCCAGAGAGUUGGGUGAGACACCCUCUGAGUGGGGUGAGACACCCUUUGAAAGUGGGGUCAGACACCCCCGGAGAGUGGGGUGAGACACCCCCGGAGAGUGGAGUGAGACACCCUCUGAGAGUGGGGUGAGACACCCUCUGAGAGUGGGGUGAGACACCCUCUGAGGGUGGGGUGAGACACCCUCUGAGAGUGGGGUGAGACACCCUCUGAGAGUGGGGUGAGACAACCUCUGAGAGUGGGGUGAGACAACCUCAGAGAGUGGGGUGAGACAACCUCAGAGAGUGGGGUGAGACACCCCCCGGAGAGUGGGGUGAGACACCCCCCGGAGAUGGGGUGAGACACCCUCUAAGAGUGGGGUGAGACACCCUCUAAGAGUGGGGUGAGACACCCUCAGAGAGUGGGGUGAGACAACCUCAGAGAGUGGGGUGAGACACCCUCUGAGAGUGGGGUGAGACACCCUCUGAGAGUGGGGUGAGACACCCUCUGAGAGUGGGGUGAGACACCCUCUGAGAGUGGGGUGAGACACCCUUAGAGAGUGGGGUGAGACACCCUUAGAGAGUGGGGUCACAUCCACAGUCAGCCAUUAUCAACCCUCGUGCAAUUACUUGCCGCCCUAUUCUGCUACCUCUCUCACACACACACUGGCUUGCCCACUCUGUCCCCUUUCCUCCUUCCCUUGGUAAUAUCCUAAUAGUCCACCCUCUGUAACAACUGCUUGUUAUAGCUUGUCCCUCCCUGUGUGCUUGUCCCUGUGUGCUUGUCCCUGUAAUGACGCUGUGCUGUGACAUCAGUCUGUCCUGUGUGUGUGUUUGGUGUUCUGUUUGAUACAUACAGCCAAGUGUUCCAGGAUCACACAGCUCUGACCAGAGGGAAAGAAGAAACAUGACUGGAUGUUAGAGGUGACCGCUACAGAACCACUGUACCACUGUUAACAGCUCACAACGCC